AUAGAGCUUAUAUAGGAAUGCUGCGAUAGGUGUCGUAUUCCUAUAGGUAGAUGUGAUCAGCUGAGAAUCAGCUGAUGCAAGCUUGACUCACGUGACCUGCCAGAACUAACGCUAACGCUUAAUUAAUAUUUAAAAAAAAUUAUGCGAAUAUAUGGUGGUUGAAAUACAAUACUGCGUGAUCUCAACCAAUCAGCAUGCUCAGCGCCUAAGUCCCGCCCCCGAAAGUUCUGGACCUUUGGAAAAAUACUACCUCGCGAGCAGGGACUUUCUGAGGGGCUUUAUUUAGAUCCUGAUUCCUGCAGUGGAAACACAUCGAAUUCCGCCCAAUGUCCCUAGUUCCUGCGGUGGAAACGGUGCUUUAGAUGGCCUACUAUCAUCACUUUAUUUUGGUAGAAAGUAGAGCGAGAGAUCAAUAGGAAAGACAGUAUUGAGAAAUGGCACGAGGCUCGAACUCUACCACACAUGUGAGAACCAUUGCUAAACAUAGCUAACUUUAAUCCACCUCAAAUAGGUUUUCUUCGCAUAUAUCAUCCUGUCUCUCAUUUCACCACUUCAUCCUGUUUUCUCUUAAAUCAGACUAACUACUAACUCACCCCCUCCUUUCACUUCAGAACCCACGCCUAAGGAGACAGAGGUUACACGCCGCUUUUCUUUAGCCUCAACUGUCAGCUCCGCCUCUGCACCGCGCACUAAAGUUCCUCUCUCCUCUAGCCUUAAGAGCAAGAGGCAUCAGGUCAAGAGCGACCCUACACCAUUUGGCUAUGAAGGAUGGAGUCAACGGCGUCUGCCAUCAAUGGACGCUGAGGAUUUUGAGACCAUUCCAUCAAGUGCAGAAGAACUCUCCAUUUCCUCAGAUGGAGAGGAUGAAGGACAAAACAAAAACGUGUGUGUCUGGCUCUACAACAUCUUCAUUUACUUUCUGUCAGCAUAUCUCAUUCGUUUCUUUGCAUAUUUGUAUUGAGGGACAAAAAAAGUCAAAUAUUCCUUAAAGGGAUAGUUCACCCCG
rnacentral:lncRNA from 1 species